rnacentral:rRNA from 1 species
AUACGGAGGGUGCAAGCGUUACUCGGAAUCACUGGGCGUAAAGCGCGCGCAGGCGGGCUGAUAAGUUGGAUGUGAAAGCCUACGGCUCAACCGUAGAACUGCAUCCAAAACUGUCAGUCUAGAGUGUGCGAGAGGAAGAUGGAAUUAGUUGUGUAGGGGUAAAAUCCGUAGAGAUAACUAGGAAUACCAAAAGCGAAGGCAAUCUUCUGGAACAGUACUGACGCUGAGGCGCGAAGGCGUGGGGAGCAAACAGAAUUAGAAACCCCAGUAGUCC